CCCACUAAUUUCAGGUCACUAGAAAGC
rnacentral:piRNA from 1 species